GGGAAAGUUGAAAAGAACUUUGAAGAGAGAGUUCAAUAGUACGUGAAACCUCUCGGGGGUAAGCGGGCAGAACUUGCAAGUAUUGGUGAGGAGAUUCAGGCUUAGGGUUGGUGACUGAGGGUAUGAUUUAAGUUGUCUGUUCGCAGUCUGGCUGAAUUGUGCUCUUUGUUUUACUGAUAAUGCGCCGCAUUUCUUCUCAUCAUCCGGGUUGCAUGCAACUGAGUGGUAAUUUAGGUGCUGGGUGUCUGCGUGUCCUUGUGGCUCGAGCCCUGGUCUCCGAUUACUUAUGCGGUUGUUGAAAGCGAACAGGCGUUUGUCGCGGUCAAUGUUAUUCACGAGUAGGGUUCUUAUGGUGUAUGGAUGGGUAACCAUAGUACAUUGUAUGGACUGAUUGUCAGUGAGUGAUAUUUGGCUCUGUUCAGUAUUG
rnacentral:rRNA from 1 species